rnacentral:rRNA from 1 species
CACGUAGGGCGCAAGCGUUGUCCGGAAUUAUUGGGCGUAAAGAGCUCGUAGGCGGUCUGUUGCGUCCGCUGUGAAAACUCGGGGCUUAACCCCGAGCCUGCAGUGGAUACGGGCAGACUAGAGGUAGGUAGGGGAGAAUGGAAUUCCCGGUGUAGCGGUGAAAUGCGUAGAGAUCUGGAAGAACACCAAAGGCGAAGGCAGCGUUCUGGGAAGUAUCUGACGCUCAUGUGCGAAAGCUAGGGGAGCGAACGGG